rnacentral:rRNA from 1 species
UACGCAGGGGGCUAGCGUUGCUCGGAAUCACUGGGCGUAAAGCGCACGUAGGCAGACUCUUAAGUCGGUGGUGAAAUCCUGGAGCUCAACUCCAGAACUGCCUUCGAUACUGAGAGUCUCGAGUCCGGGAGAGGUGAGUGGAACUGCGAGUGUAGAGGUGAAAUUCGUAGAUAUUCGCAAGAACACCAGUGGCGAAGGCGGCUCACUGGCCCGGUACUGACGCUGAGGUGCGAAAGCGUGGGGAGCAAACAGG